GACGUAGGAUGCAAGCGUUGUCCGGAAUUAUUGGGCGUAAAGCGUUCGUAGGCGGUUAUUUAAGUCUGGUGUUAAAGACGGGAGCUUAACUCCCGCAUGGCACUGGAAACUGGAUGGCUAGAGUGUGGUAGAGGUCACGGGAAUUCCAGGUGUAGCGGUGAAAUGCGUAGAUAUCUGGAGGAACACCGGUGGCGAAAGCGCGAGACUGGGCCAUAACUGACGCUGAGGAACGAAAGCCAGGGGAGCAAAAGGG
rnacentral:rRNA from 1 species